GCAGCACUUGGAUAUCAAACAAAUCAACAACCAAGUCUGGCCUCGAGGGAACAGCAGAACCUGGCUCUGGACAAGACCCAACUUUGAGCUUAUCUGCUGUGCAGGUGGGGCAGGAGGAGAUGGAAGAAGAAUUAACAGAGGCAGACCUGGAUCAGAGAGUGGAUAUUUACCUCUCAGAGACAGACACACUCUGGAUGUUUGAUAUGCCCUCUGUCAUGGUGUCUGUGGAAGCAGAAGAUGCUGGGAGAGUUCUGUAGGGAGCGGAAUAAGAUUUACGCUGACAUUUGCAAAACCAAAGCUGGCAGCGAACGCUUUGAAGAGAGAAUGGUGCAAACCCUGGCUGGGGCUGCCAAAAACAAGGAAGUGCAAUGUGAGACAAUUAUCAUGGAAGAUAAAGGUAAAACUCAAAACACUCCCUGCAGCCAGCAGAACACUGAGAAAAGGGCUUUUUUAUU
rnacentral:lncRNA from 1 species